rnacentral:lncRNA from 1 species
GUACACGCACGAGAGCAUUCUUCAAAGGACUGAAACAGCAAAGGUGGACCUGAAAUACCACCUGAAGACCAGACACGAGCAAGGCUGGUCAAGAGCUGGUGACAGAGGCAGGAAAGGUAAGGGACCCGUGGGCUGCCAGCAGGGGGCUCUUUUUUUUUUCUUUCCUCCUCAUCUGGAGACGAUUAGGGCUGACAUUACCACAGAGCACCUGGAAGAGCACGAGACACUCCCGAUGUCUCUCUGUACCCAUUAUGGGAAAGCCUGAGCAAUCCAUAGCAGAGUGAGUUCUCAGGGCAGCCCUCUCUCACAAAUGGCCACUGGGAUCUCCCCAUCAGAAGACACUUGCCCAGUGGCCUCCACUCAGCAGCCUGUCCUGCCAGCCCUGGAAACCGCUACCCUUGCUUCCCUUUGUAUUCUCAGAUGUCUCAAAAGCAAUUUCCUCUAUUGUGAGCAUGCCUCAGUAGCAAAGCUGUGUUUGGGACGUGCGUCAAGCGAUGCAAGAGCCAGCUCCUCCUGUGCUAAACGAGUCCCCUCCCCAGAGCGGCUCUUUGAGACCACCGGCAUCUGCCGGGGCCUCCCCUGUUUCAGCACACAGACGAGGUGAAGGCAUCCAAAUAGCAUUCCCCGGGGAACAACGCUGCCCCGUAGCCGUGAAGAGAUGGACCAAAACCGUGCCAGAAACGCAAUUUUUCUGACAUUUUCUCCUUUCCUCUUUCUAGGGGACCUUUGCGAGACGCACCUCCUUCAUCGAGCAGCGCUUUCUCCAGAGAAACUGCCGGCAUUGACUGUAAUGCCGGGCAGAGACCGGAAAGCCAAGGAGAAAGAGCCUCGCACCGGGCAUCUACCGGCCAUCCUGACGAGAUCCUCAGAAAAAGAAGAACAAAAGAAAGUCCUUCCUCUGGUGACUCCCAGGAUGGUGGACUUUGUUGCUGUAGAGGUGAAGAAAAGAAAGGAAUCCUCUUCCCCCAAGGAAGAGCAUUUCAGCUCUCCGUCUGAGAGCGAAUCAGAGCAAUCCUGCUCCAGCUCCGGCUCCGGCUCCAGUUCCAGCUCCAGCCCCAGCCUGAUGGAGAGGAUGAUGGGGGAGCAGGAAGAGGCCGAGGAACAGCCACCCAGCAUCUUCUGGGACAGCAGUGCUAUCCCUAAAGCCGAGCUUGCAGUUGUGCGGUGGAGUCGGCGACCGAUAAAAGAAUCCAGCAUCCUUCAUCUGGCUGGGACUGGAUUAAAACCUGCACCCCCUCCGGGGCCAAGGCCGGGCAAGUCAGUACGGGUAAGUGGUGUGAGCUCCCGUUAGCACCGUGUCAUAGCUAGCCGUAGCAAGCCAUGGGAAGACCCUCUUGGGCCUGUGGGAUGGAGAGCACUGGCUGUGGAGCUGGAGACCUCCGCGCAGACACCCCUUCCGGACGAUGGGCGCUGGGGAUAAAGUCUCGCAGCGCAGCUCAGGCAGCUUCAGACGGAAGGGUCGGACGUGUUGUCCAAGUGUUUGGCGGCCCUCCAUUCUCCAAGCGGAGUCCCUCCUCCUCCCAGAAUACGGACCCCCUGAGCACCUCGCCCUCACAGCCUGUAUUUGCUCAGGCCAAAGUCUCAGCCCCAGCCUGACUCAGGGCCUGGUCAAUCAGCCCCACAGCAGGCUACCCCAGACUGGGACUGGCCAAAAGAGCUGCAAUUACAUGACAGGGAUCGUGAGCUUGCUCUCUCUAGACACGCACAAGCAGAGCCACUCUUAUACUGCAGAGAGACUUGCAGCGUUGCGCUGCGUGUCUCUGCAUUCACAAAACUACAGAGCUUUAAACUGAACUCCUUAGGCCCGGAGAGUAGUGUCUGUGCACAACAACGAGGACCACGAGAGAUCUGCCAGUACUCUGAGACUCCCGAGUGAGACAUCCAGCCAGUGUCACCCAACAGCUCAACAAGGACCACCGUUCACUUUUGGCGACGUUAAUGGUGACACUGUUAAAAGCAAGUCGCCAUUUCCCAUACCACCCUUUCCCUAUACCCAAUAAUACCCAAUACCCAAUAAAUCCCUAUACCCAAUAAAACCCCA